UGAGAGGGCGACCGGCCACACUGGGACUGAGACACGGCCCAGACUCUACGGGAGGCAGCAGUGGGGAAUAUUGCACAAUGGGCGAAAGCCUGAUGCAGCGACGCCGCGUGAGGGAUGACGGCCUUCGGGUUGUAAACCUCUUUCAGCAGGGAAGAAGCGAAAGUGACGGUACCUGCAGAAGAAGCGCCGGCUAACUACGUGCCAGCAGCCGCGGUAAUACGUAGGGCGCAAGCGUUGUCCGGAAUUAUUGGGCGUAAAGAGCUCGUAGGCGGCUUGUCACGUCGAUUGUGAAAGCUCGGGGCUUAACCCCGAGUCUGCAGUCGAUACGGGCUAGCUAGAGUGUGGUAGGGGAGAUCGGAAUUCCUGGUGUAGCGGUGAAAUGCGCAGAUAUCAGGAGGAACACCGGUGGCGAAGGCGGAUCUCUGGGCCAUUACUGACGCUGAGGAGCGAAAGCGUGGGGAGCGAACAGGAUUAGAUACCCUGGUAGUCCACGCCGUAAACGGUGGGAACUAGGUGUUGGCGACAUUCCACGUCGUCGGUGCCGCAGCUAACGCAUUAAGUUCCCCGCCUGGGGAGUACGGCCGCAAGGCUAAAACUCAAAGGAAUUGACGGGGGCCCGCACAAGCGGCGGAGCAUGUGGCUUAAUUCGACGCAACGCGAAGAACCUUACCAAGGCUUGACAUACACCGGAAAGCAUUAGAGAUAGUGCCCCCCUUGUGG
rnacentral:rRNA from 1 species